CGGCUGAUUAGUCGUCGCUUCUUCAGUCGGCUGGGGUCGUCGGUCGGCAACUGGUUGGGUCGGCGGGUUCUUCCAAAAUUUACCGAGAUACCCCCGGCGAAUGAGGGCUUCGAUCUCAUCCUUAAGCUGGAUGCAUUGCUCGGUGUUGUGGCCGUGGCCUCGAUGAAAUCGGCAGUACUUCCGACGGUCGAGGCCUUUUG
rnacentral:lncRNA from 1 species